UUUUUAUACAGAGGCGCGGAGAGACAGGCUCUGCGAAGCGCCGGCAACCUCGGGAAAGUCCCGAACGGUGCCAAUUCCUGACCAUAUAAAAA
rfam:Hymenobacter sp. CRA2 NODE_2_length_629405_cov_105.036_ID_267, whole genome shotgun sequence.